UAGCAAUGUAAUGAUCAGAGGACACAGCUCACAGUUCACUGAAAAAAACUUUCCAAAAGGAAGAACUAGCUUUAAUAUUGAAGACAAUUUUCAAGUGUUAGAUGGGCCUAAUAAGGACUCAACUGAAAAUGAUUCAAUUUUAGGUUUUUCUUCUAAAGAUUCAGAACAUUCAUAUCAUUAUUUGGAUUAUAAUUUUA